GAAAUUUUAAGUUAAAAAAAACUAUUAAUUUUCAAAAUUAAUUACAAAACUUAGGUUUUAAAUUUCA
rnacentral:tRNA from 1 species